GGAGAUUUAGCUCAGUGGUAGAGCGCUUGCCUAGCAAGCUCAAGGCCCUGGGUUCAGUCCCCAGCUCCG
rnacentral:tRNA from 1 species